UUCGUCCUCUGUAUAAUCCUGAUAACCCUCGUAGAUAGAGUAAUCUUUGAGCACACGAGGUACGGUCUUCCAUGAAUUUGUAGAUGGUGCCAAACAUACAAGUAAUGACCUUAAGUCUUCACUCACUCCUCCAUCAAGAGCAUUUAUUGGUUCGAGAUAUUUUGUCAUCAUGACUCUUAACUUAUUCCUGUCAUGAAACUCAAAAUUUUCUGACAUAAUAAAAUCAAUCUCACUAAC
rnacentral:lncRNA from 1 species